CGGCGUGGUAAAGACAUGCAAGUCGAGCGCUACUUAUAGUGUAGCAAUACAUUGUAAGUGGAGCGGCGCAAGGGUGCGUAACACGUGGGUAAUUUACCAUGAAGUUGGGGAUAACUCGCUGAAAGGCGAGCUAAUACCGAAUGUGAUAAUUGAACGGCAUCGUUUGAUUAUUAAAGUUGGGGAUCGAAAGACCUGACGCUUUUUGAUAAGCCCGCGGCCUAUCAGCUAGUUGGUGAGGUAACGGCUCACCAAGGCUAAGACGGGUAGCUGGUCUGAGAGGACGACCAGCCACACUGGAACUGAGAUACGGUCCAGACACCUACGGGUGCCAGC
rnacentral:rRNA from 1 species